AGGCAGCAGUGGGGAAUUCUGCGCAAUGGGCGAAAGCCUGACGCAGCAAUACCGCGUGAGUGAUGAAGGCUCUUGGGUCGUAAAGCUCUGUCAGAGGGGAAGAACCUCCUGUCGUUUAAUAUGCGGCAGGCCUGACGGUACCCUCAAAGGAAGCACCGGCUAACUCCGUGCCAGCAGCCGCGGUAAUACGGAGGGUGCAAGCGUUGUUCGGAAUUAUUGGGCGUAAAGAGCAUGUAGGCGGCUCGCCAAGUCUGAUGUGAAAGCCCUGGGCUCAACCCAGGAAGUGCAUUGGAAACUGGCGAACUUGAGUACGGGAGAGGAAAGUGGAAUUUCGAGUGUAGGGGUGAAAUCCGUAGAUAUUCGAAGGAACACCAGUGGCGAAGGCGGCUUUCUGGACCGAUACUGACGCUGAGAUGCGAAAGCGUGGGGAGCAAACAGGAUUAGAUACCCUGGUAGUCCACGCCGUAAACGAUGGGUACUAGGUGUUGCGGGUAUUGACCCCUGCAGUGCCAAAGCUAACGCAUUAAGUACCCCGCCUGGGGAGUACGGCCGCAAGGCUAAAACUCAAAUGAAUUGACGG
rnacentral:rRNA from 1 species